rnacentral:rRNA from 1 species
GAUGAACGCUGACAGAAUGCUUAACACAUGCAAGUCAACUUGAACUUCGGUUUGGGUGGCGGACGGGUGAGUAACGCGUAAAGAACUUGCCUCACAGCUAGGGACAACAUUUGGAAACGAAUGCUAAUACCUGAUAUUAUGAUUAUAUGGCAUCGUAUAAUUAUGAAAGCUAUAUGCGCUGUGAGAGAGCUUUGCGUCCCAUUAGCUAGUUGGAGAGGUAACAGCUCACCAAGGCGAUGAUGGGUAGCCGGCCUGAGAGGGUGAUCGGCCACAAGGGGACUGAGACACGGCCCUUACUCCUACGGGAGGCAGCAGUGGGGAAUAUUGGACAAUGGACCGAGAGUCUGAUCCAGCAAUUCUGUGUGCACGAUGAAGUUUUUCGGAAUGUAAAGUGCUUUCAGUUGGGAAGAAAAAAUGACGGUACCAACAGAAGAAGUGACGGUUAAAUACGUG